AAUCCAGUUCCCAGAUAAGCUCACAGCUUUCAACGAGGGAGGAACCAGAGAAAACUCCUCAGAGGAUUUCACGGGGUUUGAACCUGAACAUAGUACCGGAGGUGACUGAAUAUUCCAGCAUCGGAUGGAUCUCAGCCAGCAGCUUAAAUGGUGUCAGAGUCYCAUCAGCAGAACACUGUGCAGGUGAGUCCAUCCCAGUCUCCGCCCACAUGCCAAUC